rnacentral:rRNA from 1 species
UGUGGCCUACGGGGGGCAGCAGUGAGGAAUAUUGGUCAAUGGACGCAAGUCUGAACCAGCCAAGUAGCGUGCAGGAUGACGGCCCUCCGGGUUGUAAACUGCUUUUAGUUGGGAAUAAAAGGGGGCUCGUGAGCCCCGUAUUGUAUGUACCAUCAGAAAAAGGACCGGCUAAUUCCGUGCCAGCAGCCGCGGUAAUACGGAAGGUCCGGGCGUUAUCCGGAUUUAUUGGGUUUAAAGGGUGCGCAGGCGGGCUGUUAAGCCGGCGGUAAAAAUUCAGGGCUCAACCCUGUCGAGCCGUCGGGACU